rnacentral:rRNA from 1 species
AACGAACGCUGGCGGCAGGCCUAACACAUGCAAGUCGAGCGAGCAUUUCGGUGCUAGCGGCGGACGGGUGAGUAACGCGUGGGAACGUGCCCUUUUCUGCGGAAUAGUCCUGGGAAACUGGGGGUAAUACCGCAUACGCCCUCUUGGGGAAAGAUUUAUCGGAGAAGGAUCGGCCCGCGUUGGAUUAGGUAGUUGGUGGGGUAAUGGCCCACCAAGCCGACGAUCCAUAGCUGGGUUGAGAGGAUGAUCAGCCACACUGGGACUGAGACACGGCCCAGAAUCCUACGGGAGGCAGCAGUGGGGAAUCUUAGACAAUGGGGGCAACCCUGAUCUAGCCAUGCCGGGUGAGUGAUGAAGGCCUUAGGGUUGUAAAGCUCUUUCAGCUGGGAAGAUAAUGACGGUACCAGCAGAAGAAGCCCCGGCUAACUCCGUG